rnacentral:rRNA from 1 species
CCUACGGGAGGCAGCAGUGAGGAAUAUUGGUCAAUGGGCGAGAGCCUGAACCAGCCAAGUAGCGUGCAGGACGACUGCCCUAUGGGUUGUAAACUGCUUUUAUAGGGGAAUAAAGUGAGGAACGUGUUCCUUUUUGUAUGUACCCUAUGAAUAAGGACCGGCUAAUUCCGUGCCAGCAGCCGCGGUAAU